UUGAAGUUGGCACAUUCUGUUUUCUGGGC
rnacentral:piRNA from 1 species